GUGUUCCUGGGAACUAAGAUUCAGAGAGCAAGGCUGCCUUUCUUUUUCCCAUUUCCACAUGGAGGAGAGGAAGGAAGGGUCAGGGAACGACUCUCCCCCCACCCGCUGAUGAGUCAUUCCUGACGGCCUGGUGCUGUUCAGCUCCUGUCUACAACACACAUCUCUGCUUCUGGGCUGGAGGAACAGCAUGUGUGGGACCCGAGCUGCUUCUCACAUCGGGCAGUGAGUAGGGAGCGGGUGGAGGGGUGAGGAUGCUCACCCUGAGCACGGUGAGAUUUCCCCUUUCCCUUCCUGGAUCGACGCUGAACUUUGGGCACAUUUCUUGGCUCAGUUGGCAGUUAUUAAAAUUCGCUGCUCACUUUUGUUUACAGUUGGUUAUUUACUUUGUUGAAUUUUUAAAAACUUGUUAGAAUGCAAUUGAACACAGAUUCAACAGUAUUUAAGCUUGAAAAAUAAAGAUGCAUUAGAAAGAUGCCUAUUAUGCUUCAGAAUUAUUAAUUGACAUUUUUAUGAUGAAUAAUUAAUCAUUUGAAUAAUUUUCCUAUCUCUGAUCUGAACACAUAUUUGCAUAUCUAAUGUCUGAUUUUAAAUGUGGUUUCUUUAGUUGCAAUCUCCCAGGACAAAGACACGAAGUAAGUAUCAUCCUAAUGUAAAACUUUUUUUUUUUUUCUUGCAGUUGUAAAAGUAUGUUUAUUGAAACGUAAGUUUGUGUCUAGUUAUGAAGCUAUUAAUAAUCUAUGCAUGGCAUAUAUACAUUAAUAAGACUGAGUAUCUUUCGGAUGCAAGUACAUUUAGGGCCCAUUUUCUUAAAUACAGUGGUAAAACCUCCAGAAGUACCCACACACUGCUUACAAUUGUGCAGGGUUAACCUAGGAAACCAUAAAGAAAUAUCUCAGACAAGCAGCAUGUCCCACUCGUCUAUAUGACACAAAGUGAGAAGACCAAAGGUUGUUUCAUUCUGAAGUGCUUAAAAUAUCAGGAACUUUUUAUAUUCCCUUUUGCUGUUCCAAGUUUCCUCCCAGCAUUUGCUUUCUGUAUUUUAAUACGUCAAAAUCAUAAUCCUCAACCUCCACCUCACAGAGCAAGCGCACGAGUGGCACAGCAGUUGCAAGCUGGUCAGCAGAUAGGUGCAAGAGGAGGUGUCCGUUGUGCAACCCACUUGGUUCAGUUGGUGCAAGCACAGCUCAGCCACAUGGGGAACAGAAAGGAGGAAGGGGCAGCUGGACAAAACCGUAACCAGAAAGGUUUGGUGUGGAUGAAAAGAAAAGCAUUGUUGGCAGAGAUUGUUUAGUGGAAGAAACUCUGCACCGUGUUGAGAAACACCGAGGUUUCAUUCAGGAACUAAGAUGGCAGCACUGGGUGGAGGAGGAACUCUGAGAAACUUGGAAACAGAAGAAAAACAGUUAUUGGUUUCAG
rnacentral:lncRNA from 1 species